GGUGGCUCAGUGGUAGAGUGCUUGCCUUGCAUGCAAGAGGUCCUGGGUUCAAUUCCUCAGCACCA
rnacentral:tRNA from 1 species